AUUGAACGCUGGCGGCAUGCCUUACACAUGCAAGUCGAACGGUAGCGGGCCUUCGGGUGCCGACGAGUGGCGAACGGGUGAGUAAUGUAUCGGAACGUACCUUUCAGUGGGGGAUAACGUAGCGAAAGUUGCGCUAAUACCGCAUAUUCUGUGAGCAGGAAAGCAGGGGAUCGCAAGACCUUGCGCUGAUUGAGCGGCCGAUAUCAGAUUAGCUAGUUGGUGAGGUAAAGGCUCACCAAGGCGACGAUCUGUAGCGGGUCUGAGAGGAUGAUCCGCCGCACUGGAACUGAGACCCGGUCCAGACUCCUACGGGAGGCAGCAGUGGGGAAUUUUGGACAAUGGGGGCAACCCUGAUCCAGCCAGGCCGCGUGAGUGAAGAAGGCCUUCGGGUUGUAAAGCUCUUUCGGCCGGGAAGAAAUCGUAUCAGCUAAUACCUGGUGCGGAUGACGGUACCGGCAUAAGAAGCACCGGCUAACUACGUGCCAGCCGCCGCCGUAAGAC
rnacentral:rRNA from 1 species